CCUACGGGUGGCAGCAGUCGGGAAUAUUGCGCAAUGGAGGAAACUCUGACGCAGUGACGCCGCGUAUAGGAAGAAGGUUUUCGGAUUGUAAACUAUUGUCGUUAGGGAAGAUAAAAGACUGGACCUAAUGAUGAAGCUCCGACUAACUAUGAGCCAGCAGCCGCGGUAAAAUAUAGGCGGCAAGCGUUAGCCGGAAUUAUUGGGUGUAAGGGGUGCGUAGACGGAAGAACAAGUUGGUUGUGAAAUCCCUCGGCUUAACUGAGGAACUGCAUCCAAAACUAUGAUACUUGAGUGUAGGAGAGGAAAGUGGAAUUCCAAGUGUAGCGGUGAAAUGCGUAGAUAUUAGGAGGAACACCAGUGGCGAAGGCGACUUUCUGGACGAUAACUGACGUUGAGGUACGAAAGUGUGGGGAGCAAACAGGAUUAGAUACCCUUGUAGUC
rnacentral:rRNA from 1 species